GACGAACGCUGGCGGCGUGCUUAACACAUGCAAGUCGAACGGAAAGGCCCUGCUUUUGUGGGGUGCUAGAGUGGCGAACGGGUGUGAAACACGGGAGUACCCUGCUCUUGACUUUGGGAUACCUUCAGGAAACUGGGGAUAAUCCCGGAUAGGAGCUCCUGCUGCAUGGGGGGGGUAGGAAAGUUUCGGCGGUUGGGGGUGGACUCGCGGCUUAUCAGCUUGUUGGUGGGGUAGUGGCUUACCAAGGCUUUGACGGGUAGCCGGCCGGGGAGGGUGACCGGCCACAUUGGGACUGGGAUACGGCCCGAACCCCUACGGGGGGCAGCAGUGGGGAAUUUUGCACAUUGGGCGGAGGCCGAUUGCACCAACGCCGCGUGCGGGUGGACGCCCUUCGGUUGGUAACCCGCUUUCGCCUGUGACGAACCUUUUGUGACGGUAAUUGGUUAAGAAGCACCGGCUAACUACGUG
rnacentral:rRNA from 1 species